GACGAACGCUGGCGGCGUGCCUAAUACAUGCAAGUAGAACGCUGAAGGAGGAGCUUGCUUCUCUGGAUGAGUUGCGAACGGGUGAGUAACGCGUAGGUAACCUGCCUGGUAGCGGGGGAUAACUAUUGGAAACGAUAGCUAAUACCGCAUAAGAGUAGAUGUCGCAUGACAUUUGCUUAAAAGGUGCAAUUGCAUCACUACCAGAUGGACCUGCGUUGUAUUAGCUAGUUGGUGAGGUAACGGCUCACCAAGGCAACGAUACAUAGCCGACCUGAGAGGGGGCUCGGCCACACUGGGACUGAGACACGGCCCAGACUCCUACGGGAGGCAGCAGUAGGGAAUCUUCGGCAAUAGACGGAAGUCUGACCGAGCAACGCCGCGUGAGUGAAGAAGGUUUUCGGAUCGUAAAGCUCUGUUGUAAGAGAAGAACGAGUGUGAGAGUGGAAAGUUCACACUGUGACGGUAUCUUACCAGAAAGGGACGGCUAACUACGUG
rnacentral:rRNA from 1 species